GAAUUUCUCGUGGCCUCUUGCACGCCCUAGGUCAGUUGUGUCCCUAGCCAUGAGUCUAACCCAAGCAUGUCGAUAGGAUCGAAACGAACACUGCACCCUGUUUCCGGAGAAAUCGUAAUGAACUCCGCACAACUAGAAUAGAUCCUAGUACUAUACUCACUUAUAUAUAUCCUUGCUCUCGUGUCCUCCUGAGUCAUCGCGUCGAGGGAACUAAUGCCAUAGCCACGAGUUCAUCAACGAAGGAUGAGAUCGAGUGCCACCGUAGUGGGUUCUCAGCCUCGCCAAGGAUGGAGGCCACGACUGCGCGACUGCUGGUUAGUUGCAUCCCCAUUUAUUGGCAGUACUCCGUACGUGUUUAGUGCGUGGACGAUCAUGUGGUAGGGCACUAGAGCGUGGGGCGGGUGAUCGUCGGAGCUUCACCGUCGUGCAGGCUCUGCACCGCCGCCCUGUUGAUGUCGAAAGAUGGGAGGAAGGUAGAAUAUGGCCACAUCUAGAUCCCAUGCCCAUUAAUUCUUUAUGUGACCCGAUCUAACUCAUAUCACUUAUUUUUGUGUGACCCUACUAAUUUAUUAAAAAUAUGAUAUCUUUUGGAUAAAAUAAUUUAUUUUAGUCUAAGUUGUGCUAUGUUCAUAUUAAUUUGGCGUACGUAAUAAUAACAUUGUUUUAAUUAGUUAAUUACUUAUUUAAUUAAUGUUAAUUAACUAGAUAAUAUUGUUAAUCUAAUUUAUAGUUCUAACCUACACAUUUUAUAAAUAAUCGUUCAACUAAAAUAUUUUAAUUUAAUACCUGCUUGGUUUAAAUGCAAUAUCUGUUAGAUCUCAUCUAUUAGAUUUAUUGUUUCUAAAAUAUCAUUUUAUCCAUAAAUGCUUUGUUUAGUUCCGAUUUUAAUGGUUCUCGGACCUAUGAUCUUGUAGCGACGCGUAGAAUAUUUUUACGCAGUUUGUUCUUAUGCUUUGGUGUAAUGUUGCCAUAUCCAUUAUUUGCUUGAUUGUAUGUAUUGCUACGAGUAUAGGCGAGGUGACU
rnacentral:lncRNA from 1 species